CACAAAAUGUCCAGUAAAGCAUUUCUCCCCGCAAACACAAGCUGAAACAGAAUAACAGAAAAAAACAGAAUGCAGGCUCAGUAAAAGCAUUUACAGGGCAGUGUAUAGGGUAAUUACCAUACAGUUACAUAAGUGUUUUGAUUUGGCUUCACAGAUAUUUGUAUGAGCCUGGCGUACUAACAGUAAUAUCUCCCAUAAAUCUGCUUUGGUAAGAAGUUGACGACACAUCAGCCAGUCAGGCGAGUAGCUUAAAUAUGGAGUUCCAAAGCCACAAAGAUGUGCAAUGGUUAUUAUGUCUCUCAAUCAAGGAAGAGCAACUGACCUUAUCAUAUAAAAUGCAGUGGUGAGCAUUGUUAUUAUCUGCAGUAAUGAAUCUGAGAGCUCAAUGGUAAACACAAUCUAAGGCCCUAACAAGCAGCAGCUCGGAUCGCAGACCAG